AAGAGAUUCUUUAUUGUGUAAUAAUGUGAAAAAUCUUCCAUCGUGUUUCGAUCAGUUCCUCAGACACCCGUGAGCGAAACUGAGCCGGCGGCAGCCAAUGCCCUGUCAGACUCUCGACCGAACGCCGCCGCCGUUUCAUCGUGCUAGAGCAUUCGCGAGUUCACAUAGCUGAACUGGGUUCACAUACGGAUUCUGGAUUUUCCAUAUCUCCCCAUGAAUUGAUUCCACCUCUCUAAUAAAAAGCAAGUGAGUUUGUUGGGCAUAACGGAGGACUGGAGUAGCCAAACUUCUUACGUUCUGGACUUCUAUUUGAUGUCGGUUCCCCCACCCUAGGUUUGAUGUUUAUAUUUUUCAGGCAUCGCCCUUCCGUACAAGAACUUUGUAGCACAUGGCAAUGUCAGUCUUACUUGUGCAAGCAUGUGGCAUGUGUUUCAGUGAUAAAUGCUUGAGGAGUGUGAUAACAUUUGAAGCAGAGAGAGGAUAUAGGAAUGCUCUAUGUAACAACAUGAGGUUUAAAAAUUUCCUAUUCCCUAGGGUUUCAAAAUUAUGUUCUCAAUCAAAGCAUAAGAUUGCAGAAAAGCUGUUGGUGGAAGCAGAUAGGUAUGAUGCAGCAAGUGUUACUGACCGUUCAAAGUUGCUUAAUAAGGUGUCGGUCUUAAUGGGUUACAAUGGUCUACAAGACUUGAUUGAGAGUGAAAGAGCCCAAAAGGAAUCCGUUAUGAAGCUUAAAGAUGGAAUGGGAGAUUUUGAUGUUUCUUUGGCAUGUAAACAAUUUCCUUCCAUUAUUUUCGGUUGUUCCCCACCGAUUGAAUUGUAUGAUGAUGGCCUUUUAUCCUCAGAGAUAUGUAAAGAAUUUCUCUCUAGUUCUGUGGGUACGAAGUGGGUCAAUCCAGAUAGUCCAAGUGAAUCAUGGACUUCUCUUUAUCCAUGCCUUCCAGAUGGGAACCCUUCCUUUCUUAGGGAAGAAAGUGCUGACGAUCUUCCACUAUCUUCUGAGCCCUUGAAUUUGGAGGCUGAAACAGACAUAGAUGUACAACUCACUUUGGAGGAAUCUUCCACUAGAGCUGGGCUUGAGAUUGACGAAAAGGCUGAGGAAUCUUCCACUAGAGUUGGGCUUGAGAUUGACGAACAGGCUGCAUUCGUUGAGUUGAUUCUUGAUAAAUCUAUUAGUUUCAUACCUCGUUUGACCAAGAGGCAGUUUGGUCAGCUUGAAAACUCUGGCUUCCACACGCUGCGGAAAUUGUUGCACCACUUUCCUCGGACCUAUGCUGAUCUACAAAAUGCACAAAUUGGAAUUGCUGAUGGGCAGUACCUGAUUUUUGUUGGGAAUAUCUUAUCUUCCAGGGGAGUCAGAGCAGGCCUUUCUUUCUCAUAUCUUGAGAUUGUAGUUGAAGGUGAGGUGGACAGUGAAUCAAGUGCCGAGCAUGUGUUUAAUGCAUCUGGUAGCAGAAGCAAGCAGAAAAUAUAUGUACAUUUGAAGAAAUUUUUCCGUGGCACUCGUUACACAUCCCUUCCUUUUCUCAUUAGUAUUGGGUCAAAGUAUAAAGAGGGGGACAUUGCAUGUGUUAGUGGUAAGGUGAGGACUAUGCGUAAAGAUGGCCACUAUGAGAUGAGAGAAUAUAACAUGGAUGUACUUGAAGAUGAACAAGAUUCAUCAGCUCGUGCAGAGGGGAGACCAUUCCCUAUAUACCCUUCUAGAGGAGGUCUCAAACCCAACUUUCUUAAGGACAUUAUUGCAAGAGCUUUAAAAGCAUUGCCUUCCAAUGUUGAUCCUAUUCCUCAAGAUGUCACUCAGGAUUUCGGACUUCUAUGCCUGCGCGAUGCUUAUUUUGGUAUCCAUCUUCCCAAAAAUUUGAGUGAGGCUGACUUAGCUCGCAAAAGGCUUGUAUUUGACGAGUUCUUUUAUCUUCAGUUAGGCCGUUUAUUUCAAAUGCUUGAAGGUCUUGGUACACAAGUAGAGAAGGAUGUACUGUUGGAUAAGUAUAGGAAGCCUGAAUUGAAUGCUGUAUUUACGGAGGAAUGGUCUAGUCUAACAAAGCAACUUUUGAAGGCUCUUCCAUAUUCACUUACCUCCAGUCAGCUAAGUGCUGUUUCGGAGAUUAUUUGGGAUAUCAAGCGUCCACUUCCCAUGAACCGACUUUUGCAGGGCGAUGUUGGGUGUGGGAAGACUGUGGUAGCUUUUUUGGCAUGUAUGGAGGUUAUUGGUGCAGGAUAUCAGGCGGCUUUCAUGGUUCCAACUGAAUUGCUUGCUGUCCAGCACUAUAAUCACCUUCUUGAUUUGCUUGAAAAGAUGGAGCAGGUCGAUUGUAAGCCUUCUAUAGCUUUGCUAACGGGCUCAACCUCAUCAAAACAAUCACGUCUCAUUCGCGAGGGUCUUCAGACCGGAGAGAUCUCAUUGGUCAUUGGUACUCACAGUUUGAUAGCAGAUAAAGUUGAAUUCUCAGCUUUACGCAUUGCAGUGGUAGACGAGCAACAUCGCUUUGGGGUGAUCCAGAGAGGAAGGUUUAACAGCAAGUUAUAUUAUAACUCUAUAAGUUCUAAAACGGCUGCGAGUAAUUCUGAUGGCCCUUUGAAUGGUGAUGUCUGUAUGGCCCCUCAUGUUCUUGCUAUGUCGGCCACUCCAAUCCCAAGGUCGCUUGCUCUGGCUUUGUUUGGGGACAUGUCCUUGACACAAAUAACUGGUUUACCACCAGGUAGACAACCAGUUGAAACUUACAUCGUUGAAGGGAAUGAACGUGGCCUUGAGAGGGUCUACCAGAUGAUAACGGACGAGGUAGAAGCAGGAGGAAGAGUAUAUUUGGUGUAUCCAGUCAUUGGGCAAUCUGAGCAGUUGCCUCAGCUUCAUGCUGCUUCAGCUGAAUUUGAAGCUAUGUCUAGUAGGUUUGAAAGUUACAGCUGCGGGUUGUUGCAUGGGAGAAUGAAAAGUAAUGAUAAAGAUGAAGCAUUGAGACGGUUUAGGACGGGAGAAACACAUAUUCUUUUGUCCACUCAAGUAAUUGAGAUUGGUGUUGAUGUUCCUGAGGCAUCCAUGAUGGUCGUCAUGAAUGCUGAGAGAUUUGGAAUUGCUCAACUACACCAACUAAGAGGACGAGUUGGACGCGGAGCAAGGAAGUCUAAGUGUGUUUUAAUAGCAUCUACAGCUGGUAGCCUAUGUCGGCUGAAGGUGCUGGAAAAGUCAUCGGAUGGCUUUUACCUUGCAAAUAUGGACCUUCUUCUGCGUGGACCUGGUGACUUGCUCGGUAAGAAACAGUCUGGGCACCUUCCAGAGUUUCCUAUUGCCAGGUUGGAGAUAGAUGGAAAUAUAAUACAAGAAGCACAUCUUGCUGCACUGAAAGUUCUUGGUAUGUCUCCUGAUCUGCAGAAAUUCCCAGAUCUCAAAGCAGAGCUUAGCAUGCGACAGCCACUGUGCCUGCUCGGUGAUUGAGUUUUAUCCAUAUCCAGAUGGUCUUUGUUUGAGUCUCAAAUAUACUACGCCAGGAGAUCCUGUUGCUUCGAUUUCAAUUCGGUCACUGUCAAUGGCAGCCCACUUUAUCAACAUUGAACCCGUGGCAGCCAUUUCCCUUCAGGCCCUCUCUAUAAGAAGGUUGCAGAAAGAAUUGUCUAUGAUAACAAUGGGGAGAUCAUUGAAUGCUAAGGUUGCCUCCUUCCAUCUGCCAAAAUGGGAGGAAUUGGCCUAGAAGCAGGAAUGCAACUAUCUUGGAAACAAACUCCUGCUAAUACCCUGCUUCCUACAGCCUAACAAUGCUCAACCUGAUACUCUGAUUUGAAUCUUAUACGCCAAGUGCAUAUUACUCUGUUAAAUCAGCAUAGGAUGCCGUUAGAGCUACCCUCAUGAUGUGUGCCUAGAGUAGCUACCACUCAAUGGAUGUCCGGUUUUUAUCAAACGCCUAAAAAAUUAGCCUUAAAAUUGUUUUUGCUACCAUAUUUCGAAAUUUGAAUGU